rnacentral:tRNA from 1 species
GCUUCCGUGGCGCAAUGGUAGCGCGUAGGACUUCUAUAAAAUGAAGUUCCAUCCUAAGGUUGCGGGUUCGAGCCCCGCCGGAAGUG